AAAUGCCAUCUUCUUACUGAUUUGCUGGGAACUUGAUAGAAUAAAGAUUUGCUUGGCACGAAGCCCCCAAGUAUUU